AAAGCCGGGGGUACUGGGCCUCAGGUCAGGCCUAUGGCCAUGGCCUUCACAGACCUGCUGGAUGCUCUGGGCAGCAUGGGCCGCUUCCAGCUCAACCACACAGCCCUGCUGCUGCUGCCCUGCGGCCUGCUGGCCUGCCACAACUUCCUGCAGAACUUCACGGCCGCUGUCCCCCCCCACCACUGCCGGGGCCCUGCCAACCACACUGAGGCCUCCACCAACGACUCGGGGGCCUGGCUGAGGGCCACCAUACCCCUGGACCAGCUUGGGGCCCCUGAGCCCUGCCGGCGCUUCACCAAGCCUCAGUGGGCCCUGCUGAGCCCCAACUCCUCCAUCCCGGGCGCGGCCACGGAGGGCUGCAAGGACGGCUGGGUCUAUAACCGCAGUGUUUUCCCGUCCACCAUCGUGAUGGAGUGGGAUCUGGUGUGUGAGGCCCGCACUCUCCGAGACCUGGCGCAGUCCGUCUACAUGGCCGGGGUGCUGGUGGGGGCUGCCGUGUUUGGCAGCUUGGCAGACAGGCUGGGCUGCAAGGGCCCCCUGGUCUGGUCCUACCUGCAGCUGGCAGCUUCGGGGGCCGCCACAGCGUAUUUCAGCUCCUUCAGUGCCUAUUGCGUCUUCCGGUUCCUGAUGGGCAUGACCUUCUCUGGCAUCAUCCUCAACUCCGUCUCCCUGUUGUGGAGUGGAUGCCCACACGGGGCCGGACUGUGGCGGGUAUUUUGCUGGGGUAUUCCUUCACCCUGGGCCAGCUCAUCCUGGCUGGGGUAGCCUACCUGAUUCGCCCCUGGCGGUGCCUGCAGUUUGCCAUCUCUGCUCCUUUCCUGAUCUUUUUCCUCUAUUCUUGGUGGCUUCCAGAGUCAUCCCGCUGGCUCCUCCUGCAUGGCAAGUCCCAGUUAGCUGUACAGAAUCUGCAGAAGGUGGCUGCAAUGAACGGGAGGAAGGAGGAAGGGGAAAGGCUGACCAAGGAGGUGAUGAGCUCCUACAUCCAAAGCGAGUUUGCAAGUGUCUGCACCUCCAACUCAAUCUUGGACCUCUUCCGAACCCCGGCCAUCCGCAAGGUCACAUGCUGUCUCAUGGUGAUUUGGUUCUCCAACUCUGUGGCUUACUAUGGCCUGGCCAUGGACCUGCAGAAGUUUGGGCUCAGCCUAUACCUGGUGCAGGCCCUGUUUGGAAUCAUCAACACCCCGGCCAUGCUGGUGGCCACCGCCACCAUGAUUUACGUGGGCCGCCGUGCCACGGUGGCCUCCUUCCUCAUCCUGGCCGGGCUCAUGGUGAUCGCCAACAUGUUUGUGCCAGAAGGCACGCAGAUCCUGUGCACAGCCCAGGCAGCGCUGGGCAAAGGCUGCCUGGCCAGCUCCUUCAUCUGUGUGUACCUGUUUACCGGCGAGCUGUACCCCACGGAGAUCAGGCAGAUGGGGAUGGGCUUUGCCUCUGUCCACGCCCGCCUCGGGGGCCUGACGGCGCCCCUGGUUACCACACUUGGGGAAUACAGCACCAUCCUGCCACCCGUGAGCUUUGGGGCCACCGCAAUCCUGGCUGGGCUGGCCGUCUGCGUCCUGACCGAGACCCGCAACAUGCCCCUGGUGGAGACCAUCGCAGCCAUGGAGAGGAGGGUCAAAGAAGGCUCUUCCAAGAAACAUGUAGAAGAGAAGAGUGAAGAAAUUUCUCUUCAGCAGCUGAGAGCAUCUCCCCUCAAAGAGACCAUCUAAGCUGCCUGGAACCUGGUGCUUGCUAGCAGCACCUGAGCCGAUGUCCAGACGGCCCCCUGGGGGCUUCUCCCAGGAGCCCCUGGGGACACUGGUGCUGAACUGGAGGAAAGGUCGCUGAAAACAUCAUGGCUCCUAUAGACAGCCACCCACAAGCCAGGGCUGCUUGGAGGGAAACCCCACCAGAAACAGCCAAUCUGUGUUACAAAUGCAUAGAAAGCCAGGAGAAGCCAGUCCCAGGGACCAAAGGAGAGACUGUUUUCCUUUCCCAUCCCCAAUCUGCCCCUUAAAAUGUCUCUGUAUUAGUCCAUUCUUGCACUCCUAUAAAGAACUACCUGAGACUGGGUCAUUUACAAGGAAAAGAGGUUUAAUUGACUCACAGUUCUGCAGAUUGUACAGGAAGCAUGGCUGGGAGGCCUCAGGAAACUUACAAUCAUUGCAGAAGGCAAAGAGGAAGCAAGCACGUCUUCACAUGGCUGGCAGGAGAGAGAGAAAGUGAAGGGGAAGGUGCCGCACACUUUACAACAGCCAGAUCUCGUGAGAACUCUUUAUCACGAGACAGCACUAGGGGGGUGGUGCCAAACCAUUAGAAACCAUCCGCAGUAUCCAAGCACCUUGCACUAGGCCCCACCUCCAACACCGGGGAUUACAAUUAAACAUGAGAUUUGGGUGGG